CAAAACGACUCUCGGCAACGGAUAUCUCGGCUCUCGCAUCGAUGAAGAACGUAGCGAAAUGCGAUACUUGGUGUGAAUUGCAGAAUCCCGCGAAUCAUCGAGUUUUUGAACGCAAGUUGCGCCCAAAGCCGUUUGGCCGAGGGCACGUCUGCCUGGGUGU
rnacentral:rRNA from 1 species